rnacentral:rRNA from 1 species
ACGCUCGACACCUACGGGAGGCAGCAAUCGGGAAUAUUGCGCAAUGGAGGAAACUCUGACGCAGUGACGCCGCGUAUAGGAAGAAGGUUUUCGGAUUGUAAACUAUUGUCGUUAGGGAAGAGAAAGGACAGUACCUAAGGAGGAAGCUCCGGCUAACUACGUACCAGCAGCCGCGGUAAUCUGAGCGGGCUGGCAAGGC